UCAAUCUCGGCCUGCAAAUCAGCGAGACCCAUAUGUCAGAGCAGCUCGAGCCCUGUCCGCGGGUGGGUGACGUGACGCCGGCGGCUGGGCGACGUUGCGACCGACGGCUGGGCGACGUUGCGGCCGGCGGCAGGCCGGGCGACGUGACAGCCGUGGCUGGGCGGGCGACGUGACAGCCGGUGGCUGGGCGGGCGACGUGACGACCGACGGCUGGGAGACGUGACGGCCAGCGGCUGGGCGACCAACAAGCUCCGCCCUUGUAUGCUCCGCAGCUUCGAUUCACUCCAUCUCCACGGAAGUUGCAGGCAAGAUGCCCAUUCUCGUCGCCACCAACAUCGACUAGAUUCUGAACGUGGAAGGGACCGGCCACCGGUGCCUUUUGCCCAAUUCUCAGUAUGUCCAACAAGAUAUCAACGCUUGGAACUAGAGCUCGUCCAUGGUGGGAUGACGAGGAUGAAUCUGAUGUUGACGACCUCUUCAUCAUUGCUGGUCUUCUUGAGGGCUCAAGGAGAAACAAGCGCAAGAAAAAGUUUUUGCAUCAUUUCCUUGUACUCGUCAUCUUCUUCAUUGUUUUUCAGCUUCUCUUUGGAUUGCUUUCUACCUGGAGGUCGCGCUUUCUUAGCUGAAGGGAGUGAGGAGCUCUGUUGGCCUUGGGUGGUUGAGUCAUCGUCCUCUUGUUCACUUCUUACCGGGAGGUUGACCUCUCUGUACUUGGCUGGCCCCUUGUUGCCUUGAAGCGUUGAUUCAAACUUC